rnacentral:rRNA from 1 species
AGAGUUUGAUCAUGGCUCAGGACGAACGCUGGCGGCGUGCUUAACACAUGCAAGUCGAGCGGAAAGGCCCUUCGGGGUACUCGAGCGGCGAACGGGUGAGUAACACGUAAGCAAUCUGCCCCUAGCUCUGGGAUAGCUCCGGGAAACCGGGAUUAAUACCAGAUACGACCACUUUAGACAUCUGCUGUGGUGGAAAGAAUUUCGGCUAGGGAUGAGCUCGCGGCCUAUCAGCUUGUUGGUGGGGUAACGGCCUACCAAGGCGACGACGGGUAGCCGGCCUGAGAGGGCGACCGGCCACACUGGGACUGAGACACGGCCCAGACUCCUACGGGAGGCAGCAGUGGGGAAUAUUGCGCAAUGGGCGAAAGCCUGACGCAGCGACGCCGCGUGGGGGAUGAAGGCCUUCGGGUUGUAAACCCCUUUCAGCAGGGACGAAGCGAGAGUGACGGUACCUGCAGAAGAAGCGCCGGCUAACUACGUGCCAGCAGCCGCGGUAACACGUAGGGCGCAAGCGUUGUCCGGAAUUAUUGGGCGUAAAGAGCUCGUAGGCGGUCUGUUGCGUCCGCUGUGAAAUCUCGGGGCUUAACCCCGAGCCUGCAGUGGAUACGGGCAGACUAGAGGUAGGUAGGGGAGAAUGGAAUUCCCGGUGUAGCGGUGAAAUGCGCAGAUAUCGGGAGGAACACCGGUGGCGAAGGCGGUUCUCUGGGCCUUACCUGACGCUGAGGAGCGAAAGCGUGGGGAGCGAACAGGAUUAGAUACCCCAGUAGUCC